UCUUUCCAUGCUUGCCCAAAUCUAAAAAUGGCUUCGAUACGGAAAUCCCUCUCCCCCAUGCUCUGGCAAAGGAAGGGUGCAGGGUGUUCACCUAAUUGCUUCUCCAGUAAAUCAAUCUAGCUUUAAUAUGCAGAGACUGCCGUUUGGUUCAUUUUACAUGUCAGGCAAUAAGGAAUCUGAUGUCUUUAUUUCGAAUUCUCUCACUCCGCAAGCUGCCAUGUUUGUACCUAAUUAAGUUGAAAUUAAUAUUGGUUGUGUUUGUUUUGGCCAUGACAUUUAGCGUUGGCAUUCGGUGAGCAUUUGAACGCAGAUAAAGGUACGUUUGGCAUAAAAAACACUCUGCAAACCAAAAUGUUGUUUGACUGCAAGUAAAACUGACUUACAACUUUCAAUUUCCACAAGCAUUCUUAUUCCAAAUUGAACUUUUAUCAUAUACGGAGGAACGUGGACUAGAAAACUUUGCCAUUGCCUGCUUCAAUUGAUUUACUCUCUAACCCUGAAAUUACUGUUUCCAGCUUACGCGUUUCGUGCAUAGUCGAAAAAGCUUUUUAUUUCAAAGGCGGACGGGAGGAGAAUAUUGAACAUUUUUCCUUCUUCAUUAAAUGGAAAUUGUCCUUAAAGUUGAAACCUUUUUGAUACGAAAAAUGAGACUGAAUGUCUGGCGUGAGACGAGGAUUAUGAUCUCGUUAACCUAACGGUUGUGAGCAAAAGAGCUUGAAAAUAUAAUCUAAUCAACGCAGUUUGGAAAGGUCCAAUUGGAAGAGGUCUAAUUGGAAGUUGUCCAAUUAUUAGAUUUCCUGCAAUGAAUAUCAGAAUAACAAUUGGUAUUGUCUCGGUUGGAUUGGGGUUAUGAGCAAUUAUCUUUCAUACAAUCAUGACCUUAGGCAGGACCUAAACAAAGCUAUUUAAGAACAUGCUCAUUUCAGCCAAGCCUUGAAAACGGCUUUUGUGUUGAAAUUUUCAUCCCACUAAUGAGAGAUGCAAUGCCAUCCCGAGAUGCAAUGCCAGAAUCCUGUCUACAGUUCGCCACAAGUUGUAGUUUUUUUCCUCAUUUGCGGAUACUCCAGUAAUGUGAGCAAUGGAUUUCACUAAAAUACUCAAGCGCUAUUCAAACCGUGGUAUUUGAUAACCUAAAAUUGAAAACAAAAUAGGCCUACAAUUUGCAGGAAAUUCUCGUGCUGCGUGUAAAACCAUGUUAAUUAUUUGUUAACCAAAUAAUUAAGAUUGUUUUUAAAGAAUAUGAUGCGAAGCUAGCCAGGGCGACUGGUCAACCUAUGCUAUUAAACCUGCAUCUGAAUAGACUAAAUACGUUGGAAAUAUGCAAAUCAUAAAAAUUUCGAUUCUAUUACCUGUUGCUAUGGCUAGCUCGCCACUGAAAAUCUCUAAUGCAUGAUUGGAUUCAGUACAUAAGAAAUCAAUAAUACAUCAGUAGUUUAGUGUAAGGAUAUUUCCAAAAUAAGCG